AAAGAUUAAGCCAUGCAUGUGUAAGUAGAGUUGAUAUAAAGCGAAACUGCGAACGGCUCAUUACAACAGAUAUAAUUUACUUGUUCUAUUCCUUUAAACGGAUAACUGCGGUAAUUCUGGAGCUAAUACGUGCACAUAAGUCGAAUUCAGCAAUGAGUUCGAUGCACUUAUCGGAGCAAAACCCUUCCUGGUUUUAUGCUAACUCUGGAUAAUAUUGCUUAUCGCACGAUUUUACAUCGGCGAAGUUACAUUCAAGUAUCUGCCUUAUCAACUUUCGAUGGUAGUGUAUUGGACUGCCAUGGUGUUGACGGGUAACGGAGAAUCAGGGUUCGACUCCGGAGAGGGAGCCUUAGAAACGGCUACCAUGUCUAAGGACAGCAGCAGGCGCGCAACUUAUCCACUGUUCAUUGAACGAGAUAGUGACGAGAAAUAACAAGUUCGUUCUCUUUGAGGUCGAGCAUUGGAAUGGAUGGAAUCUAAACAGUUCCAUGAGUACCUACGAGAGGGCAAGUCUGGUGCCAGCAGCCGCGGUAAUUCCAGCUCUCGUAAUGUAUAGAAUUAUUGUUGCGGUUAAAAAGUUCGUAGUUGGAUUUUCGACUGUCCAGGGGUCGGCCUUAACGGGACGUACUUCUGGCAGUGUUUGCAUUCGAUUUGGAAGCAAUUUCAGAUUGGAUGUGGAUUACUUUGAACGGCUUAAGUGCUCAAGGCGAGUCUUCGGACUGAAUACCGGUGCAUGGAAUAAUGGAACAAGGUCUCGGCCGAGUUUUAUUGGUUUUGUCGGCUAAGACAAUGGUUAACAGGAACAGCUGGGGGCACUCGUAUCGCUGCGCGAGAGGUGAAAUUCGUGGACCGUAGCGAGACGCCCUAAAGCGAAAGCAUUUGCCAAGAAUG
rnacentral:rRNA from 1 species